AGCUUCGCUCCAAAGUCCUGCAGGUAGUUGUAGCUGAGGUCCAGCUGUCUCAGAUGGAACGGGUUGGAGCUCAGUGCAGAAGCCAGAUGAGUGCAGCCCUCCUCUGUGACCCCACAGAAUGACAGCCUGUAUACCGGUCAUUGCCACUCAGAUCCAGCUCCCUCAUGUUGGAGCUGCUGGAGCUGAGGACUGAGGCCAAAUCAGCACAGCAUUCCUGGAGAUUGCACUCACUUAAUCUGCAGUCUACACCUCUGGACUCAGGAGGAAGGAACAGUUACCUGGAGUACGGUGUGACUCCUGCACCUUUCACCUGCAUCUCCCAUCUCCCCUGGGUGCCCGCCUCCACCUCCCCCAGGUACAUCACCGCUCCGUCCCCCAGC